rnacentral:rRNA from 1 species
AGUGAACGCUGGCGGUAGGCCUAACACAUGCAAGUCGAACGGCAGCACAGUAAGAGCUUGCUCUUACGGGUGGCGAGUGGCGGACGGGUGAGGAAUACAUCGGAAUCUACUUUUUCGUGGGGGAUAACGUAGGGAAACUUACGCUAAUACCGCAUACGACCUACGGUUGAAAGCAGGGGAUCUUCGGACCUUGCGCGAUUGAAUGAGCCGAUGUCGGAUUAGCUAGUUGGCGGGUUAAAGGCCCACCAAGGCGACGAUCCGUAGCUGGUCUGAGAGGAUGAUCAGCCACACUGGAACUGAGACACGGUCCAGACUCCUACGGGAGGCAGCAGUGGGGAAUAUUGGACAAUGGGCGCAAGCCUGAUCCAGCCAUCCCGCGUGGGUGAAGAAGGCCUUCGGGUUGUAAAGCCCUUUUGUUGGGAAAGAAAAGCAGCAGGUUAAUACCCCGCUGUUCUGACGGUACCCAAAGAAUAAGCACCGGCUAACUUCGUG